rnacentral:rRNA from 1 species
AAGGGCACCACAAGAACGCGUGGAGCAUGUGGCUUAAUUUGACUCAACGCGGGAAAUCUUACCAGGUCCAGACAUAUUGAGGAUUGACAGGUGAUAACUAUAAUAUUUAUAUUAUAGUACAAAUAUGAUAGUCCUUUCAUGACUAUAUGAUAGGUGGUGCAUGGCCGUUCUUAGUUCGUGGAGUGAUCUGUCUGCUUAAUUGCGUUUCAGUAAAAUAAAUAUAUUAUAUUUUUUUUUAUAUUUUUGACGUUCUGCCUUUUAUAGGAAUGUGAACUCAAAUAUAAUUAAUUUAUAAUAUUAAUAAAUGAAUGCAACGAACGUGACCG